CGUCUUCAGGGCAGGGUGCAAUUCCCGACCGGCGGUAAUACGGUGCAAACCGGCGAGUCCGCGAGCCUACGGGUUGAAUCGGUGUGAUUCCGAUACCGACAGUACAGUCUGGAUGGAAGAAGAUG
rnacentral:ncRNA from 1 species